CACCCAUCCAGAGCGGCUGAGAGAUCUGGCUCGUUGACGCCGCAGCAAAUUGACCGAGUGGUCAUAGUGCUAACGCCAGAAUCGAUGGAAA
rfam:Neomicrococcus aestuarii strain B18, complete genome.